AUGGGGAGGUGAUUCAAGAAAAACCACCGUCAAACACCUGCUGCACUGCGGUAAUUUUAUCAUUAGACUGUAUUGUUGAAUUAACGGGGAGUAACGGUAUUUUAUAUGGGAUGAAGUAACGGCGUUUAAUUUUUUUGGAUUGUUGCAGUUAAAGAAGAAGAACGCUAAGCUUUUGCACAAGAUCUCAAGGCUGGAAGAAAUUAAAAGCCAGUUUCGUGAAUUCACAGCAUUGCUAAAGAAAAAAAACCAAUUCCUUCAGAGAGAAAAUCAGAGUCUCAAAGAAGGAGUGGAGGAACAACUGCAAGUACAGGCCGACGAGAUUAAGCAGCUGAAGGAGCUUCUGAACGAGCGGCGGAUUCGACGAAAGUGAAUGCCGAGUUCGAACACAAGUAAAUCAAGUAUUUUAUUUUUCGAAACAAACUAUUAAAAGUUGUUUUUUUUUUAUGAAUCCUACGAAAUAAUCUAUGCUUGAUAUUUGUUUUCAGUUGGUGCAAUAUUCGUUAUGUGAGUCAUCGCCUCGUAGCAUUUUGCCAAAACAAAUUUAAACAAGCUGUUGAAAACAAACACGAUACUAUAUUUGCUUGCAAUAAAGUUAUAUCUGGGAAUCAACAACACAAGCUUCUAUAACGUUUUGUUACAUCGACGAAUCUUGCACGGAGCCUCUCUUUCACUAUCAACUUUU